rnacentral:rRNA from 1 species
AUUGAACGCUGGCGGCAUGCCUUACACAUGCAAGUCGAACGGCAGCACGGGUGCUUGCACCUGGUGGCGAGUGGCGAACGGGUGAGUAAUACAUCGGAACGUACCUUAUCGUGGGGGAUAACGCAGCGAAAGCUGUGCUAAUACCGCAUACGCCCUGAGGGGGAAAGCGGGGGAUCGAAAGGCCUCGCGCGAUUAGAGCGGCCGAUGCCUGAUUAGCUUGUUGGUGGGGUAAAAGCCCACCAAGGCGACGAUCAGUAGCUGGUCUGAGAGGACGAUCAGCCGCAGUGGGACUGAGACACGGCCCAGACUCCUACGGGAGGCAGCAGUGGGGAAUUUUGGACAAUGGGGGCAACCCUGAUCCAGCAAUGCCGCGUGAGUGAAGAAGGCCUUCGGGUUGUAAAGCUCUUUUGUCAGGGAAGAAACACCGGCUCUAACACAGUCCGGGAAUGACGGUACCUGAAGAAUAAGCACCGGCUAACUACGUGCCAGCCGCCGCGGUAA